AACGUAGGAGACAACCGUUAUCCGGAUUUACUGGGCGUAAAGGGCGUGUAGGUGGUUACGUAAGUCUGGCGUGAAAUUUUUCGGCUUAACCGGGAAAGGUCGUCGGAUACUGCGGGACUAGAGGACGGUAGAGGCGUGUGGAAUUCCGGGUGUAGUGGUGAAAUGCGUAGAGAUCCGGAGGAACACCAGUGGCGAAGGCGACACGCUGGGCCGUACCUGACACUGAUGCGCGACAGCAUGGGGAGCAAACAGG
rnacentral:rRNA from 1 species